CCUACGGGUUGCAGCAGUGGGGAAUAUUGCACAAUGGGCGCAAGCCUGAUGCAGCCAUGCCGCGUGUGUGAAGAAGGCCUUCGGGUUGUAAAGUACUUUCAGCGGGGAGGAAGGCGAUAAGGUUAAUAACCUUGUCGAUUGACGUUACCCGCAGAGGAAGCACCGGCUAACUCCGUGCCAGCAGCCGAGGUAAUACGGAGGGUGCAAGCGUUAAUCGGAAUUACUGGGCGUAAAGCGCACGCAGGCGGUCUGUCAAGUCGGAUGUGAAAUCCCCGGGCUCAACCUGGGAACUGCAUUCGAAACUGGCAGGCUAGAGUCUUGUAGAGGGGGGUAGAAUUCCAGGUGUAGCGGUGAAAUGCGUAGAGAUCUGGAGGAAUACCGGUGGCGAAGGCGGCCCCCUGACAAAGACUGACGCUCAGGUGCGAAAGCGUGGGGAGCAAACAGGAUUAGAUACCCUGGUAGUC
rnacentral:rRNA from 1 species